rnacentral:rRNA from 1 species
GAUGAACGCUGGCGGCGUGCUUAACACAUGCAAGUCGAACGGUGAAGGCGGAGCUUGCUCUGCUGGAUCAGUGGCGAACGGGUGAGUAACACGUGAGCAAUCUCCCCCUGACUCUGGGAUAAGCGCUGGAAACGGCGUCUAAUACUGGAUACGAGCUGCGAAGGCAUCUUCAGCAGCUGGAAAGAACUUCGGUCAGGGAUGAGCUCGCGGCCUAUCAGCUUGUUGGUGAGGUAACGGCUCACCAAGGCGUCGACGGGUAGCCGGCCUGAGAGGGUGACCGGCCACACUGGGACUGAGACACGGCCCAGACUCCUACGGGAGGCAGCAGUGGGGAAUAUUGCACAAUGGGCGAAAGCCUGAUGCAGCAACGCCGCGUGAGGGACGACGGCCUUCGGGUUGUAAACCUCUUUUAGCAGGGAAGAAGCGAAAGUGACGGUACCUGCAGAAAAAGCGCCGGCUAACUACGUG